GAAAUACUCCCUUCGUUUGGAAUUACUUGUCGCAAAAAUGGAUGUAUCUAGACAUAUUUUAGUUCUAGAUACAUCCAUUUUCGCGACAAGUAAUUCCGAACGGAGGGAGUAGCUU
rnacentral:pre_miRNA from 1 species